AAAAAAAAAACACUGAAAAAGAAAAAGAAAACACUUAGAAAAGCAAAACAUGGCUGAGAUUGCAGAUCGGUGUGGGAGUGCAUUAACAACGCUGGUAUUUCUGUACUACCCAGAUCAUCAAUUAUUAACAAAUUAGGACAUGCCUGAUGGGGUGCUUAUGUAACACUUCUUUAUCAAUAACACUGCCAAGUCCCUUGCAGGGGAAAGCGAAGUGAAUUUCAACAAAUCAUGAAGUGAUGCCUGCCCUUGGACUGGGCACUUGAUGAAUUCUCGUUUCCCCCUCCCCAGCAGAACCACCAACCCGCAUGGAGCAAUCCCAGCCAGCCCGGCACCCCGCAGCCCGCUGGAGCGGCUGUCCCAAACCAGGUCAGCGCGCACCGAUGCCUUAUGGCACUGCAGCAGUGGCAAUGGGAGGAAGGGGCCCAAACCCCACAUCCCCUUCCUGGGGGCAUCACUGGCCCCAAGAGCAGGCCCUGGCAUUGCACGCCACCUGCCUGGGCCAGGGAGGGGAAAAGCCCACAGCUCUCUUCCCCACUUUACCCUUUGGGUACAGCCAUCGCCUCACAGGAGGAAAGGACCUGCUAUAAGGGCAGCCUGCAGUGACACUUUCCCUCACCCUGCUCUAUCUCAUUUCCUUCAAUAGGCAAGAGCGAGCAGGGUGGGGGGCACAAAAAAACCCCCUUCCCUGUUUGAGGGCCUGACGCUUAAGUCCUAAAUGCCAGGAUCAAAUCUGAGCGUCACCCAACGGUGAGUUCCACUCCGCUGGGCUGGUCCCCAGCAGGAGAAGCAGCUCUGUGCCCCGCACCUCCUGACGAGCACCUGCUGGAGCAUCCGAGCUGCGCACCAAGCCAAGCUCCCCCAGCAGUUUCUGGGACUCGGCACGUAAACGUGCACAAAAUGAGUAUUUGCCUCUUGAAGGCAAGUAACCACUUAGCGACACAUUUUCUUCCAUUUAAAACAAGAAAAUUAUUAUCAGUGAGGAGGCUUCCCAAGAGGAAUUAAGACUCUUCAUAGCACAUUUGCAUUUGCUACUUAUCCCCUCUCUGAUUGCAUCACUCCAUGUAGCACAACUGGUGCCUGGGAGGUGAUGGAGUCACAGGGCCCCGCUUACGCUGUCACAGAGAUGUAUUUUCAUUCUGAACAGAGCUAGCAGCCCAGGUCAUAACAAACUGCAAUGAAAGAUCGCAGAAGAGAAGGACAUAAAGUGAAACCUUUAACUGACAAAGACGUCAAUUCUGUGCAAAGUGCUAGCAAUAAUAAUAAAGAUCGCAGGAAGGAGGCCGUGAUGGCAGCACAGAGCGCUCUGCAAAGUUUCCCUUGAGCUGCUGGCAGCCCUGAAAUGGGUCACGGAAAGUCGAAACUGUGUUAUUGAUCACUGCUUACUCUGCAGGUGUGUUCAUCUUCUUAAUAAAAGUGCUUUCGCUAUUUUCACUUAAAGCAAAACAAUAUUCCAGCAUCUUCCAAAGUCCCGUACAAUCAGAAACAAUGCGAAUGAUGGCACUACUAACUGCCUAAACACUUUCUUUACAUAUUUUUAAGUAAUUACCUUUCUGAGCAAACCCCUUUUACGGGUGAAAGAAAACACAACUUGUUAUGAGUACACAAGAGUAUCGCACACAUUUGGCAUUUUACAACCACGUUCUAAAGCUCCCCUUCAAAAUUACCAGCAAGGGUGGAAGUCCUGCACAAUUGUAGCACCCAACAUCUGAAAAAAUCAGAGCGGUCCCAACUCUGCUUUGAGCUGUAUAAAAGAACAGUUGAAAAACUUACAGUUGACUGGUGCUACCUAGGUUACCCGUCAAUGGCACUGAAACUGGUAUAUUAUUAAGAGAGGUGUAUGAUGGGAAUUGGUUUAUUGUGCUGAUCCAUAGUAACCAACUCCCGUUCGUCCAUCAUUUAUCUCUCUCACCAGCGACAUAUGGGUUUGUCUAUUCACACUCUCAGCAUUCUCUCUGCUCCAACAAACAGUCAGCCUUUUCUGCUGGGAUAAGGAGAUUUUUUAGUUACAUCCAUUAUGUGCGUAUCAACAUUUAUGGCAGGAAGAUAAUUGCCAAAGAGCUCAGGGGGAUAAAAGCUCCCUCUUUAUAACACAAACUCCCUUAAAAAAAUCAAUAUUGAUAUAAAACAGUUCAACGCAAAGCCUUGGUGUGUCUUCUGCUUGCUUUGGUUUGAAAUACUUUUUUUUUUUUUAAUAGCAAGUCAAACUGGAACAUCAGGUAGAAAGCCUUCAUAGUGACUUGCACUAGUGCUCUUCCCAUACAGGAAAAAAUAGCAGCAUACAGUAUUAAUUGUUCCUUAAAGAAGUGAAUGGCAAAUGUGUCAGAUACAAAGAGGGCUCCUUGGAGAGGCGCCAGCAUCGUUUAAACUGAUUUAGCUAUCUUUAUUUGGAGACCACACCAAUUACCAGUGAAUCGUAACUUAUAAUCACCUUCUCCUAAACGCGGAAAAACGCUGACAACUCAGAAACAGUCGGCACAAGGGAACAAUGAAACCUGGGGAUCCUGCCUUCCCUCCCGGUUAGGGGCUCUGACAACCUUCUACUCUUCCACCCCCAGUUUGGGCAAGUCCAUUUGUUACAGCUUUUGCCAGAUUUACUUCACCUUCCCAUGGCCACAUGCUCGUAAAAGUUACUGUAAGGCCACUUUCAUGGAAGUAGCAAGUAACAUAGCACAAUGUAGCACAUUUAUGGAUUAAAUGGCCGGGAACCAUGGGUUGCACUGCACUUCACCUUAGGGGAUGGCUGGGGGAUCCCACUCCCCGCUCUCCCUGGCCUUGUGUUGCCUCCCGCCCUCCUCCCAGCGCAGCGGGGCAGCGGUGCCAGCCGGCACCUGGGUCGGGAGCUCUCGCAGUCCAUCUCGCAUCCGUUCGGAAGGCAGCUGGCACAACAGCUCCCUAAUCCCAUUUAAAACCUCUGCAAGCCACCCUGUUAUAAUGGCAGCAACGAGAUCGGUGCAAAAAUUAAAAUUGAGUUCACUGACACACCAUAUUCAUAAGGCACUUCCACCUGCGGAGCAGGAGGCCAAACAAGAGAGUUAAUAAUACGUACAACUGCCUCCUGUAACGACUAAUCUCCCCCCAAAUCCUUUAACAACUACGUUAGCUUUAAAAAAAUCCAGGAGUCUUUGCAGGUUCAAACCACACAGUUACAAGGGACUACAAGCGAAGCCCUGUCAAUAUUUGCUUUUCCAAUUGUGAAGUUUUAGUUAAAAGGAUUAAAAACAGAGACGGAAAAGCUCGAGUUAAAAACAAAAGACAAAACAAAAAUCUCUGAAAAUAAGAAGCUAAGUUCCAGUGGGGCUGCUCGGUUCUAAGCACUAAGCAGCUUUUCGCCCGCUGGAGAGGAGCAGCGCAGCGCCUGUUACCUGCCUUACAAUGCACACUAUUUGUUUUCUAUCCCUGAGCAACAGACUAUUUCCUGGUUCAGUUUAAAAACUCAGUGACGUUCCAAUUUCAGCCCACACAUGUGUGUCACUGUCAACGUCAGUGGCAGGAAAACAUUAGAAGUCACCCCUUGCUAAUGCUUUCCUAACAUGGAAUUUCCUUGCAUCGCGCUCCCUCAGCCCACCUCCUCCCUCCAAGCUGAGAGCAUCUUUUCCCAAAUCGCUUUUUUUUUUUUUCUCCUCUCCAAGCAUAUGGCAGCGAGAGAGAACUGAAAAUGGUCAGUGCCAGGAGCAGAUCGUUGCUUUUUUGGGUGCCAGCGUGCAACUUCCUCGCGCUGCUCCCGCCCGCCGGCAGCACCCGACAGGGCCGCAGCUGAAUGAUGAAUGAAUUGAGAGGUUUUCAAGCACCUGCAGCUCCCAUUGGUGUAACAGGAAUUUGGGGUGACCAAGGCUGGACCAGAAAAACCUGACUGCACGUGAUAUUAAGAAGUCCCAGGGCUACCGCCCUCCUGGGCCCUGGCUUCGGAGGCAGCACUUGCCUGGCAGAGUGCUGGGAGCGAGGGCUCUGAAAGUGCUGUUGUUUGGGAGACCUGAGCAGGGGACGGGGCCAAAGAGCUGGGCUCUGCCAUGGCUUUGGGAAGAAGCCCAUCUGUGGCUGGGGAAGGAGCACAGUGAGCACUGCAAAAAGUGCAGCAAGACCGGAUUUUGCUUCCAAGGGAAUUUCCUUCUCUUCUCCAUUACAAGUCUCACCAUAUACAAAUAGCUGGCUUGUUAUUGCAGCUCAAAGGAAUGAAUGAGCUCAAAAGAAUGUGAAGAGGAGAGAAUGCUACAAUUCCACUGGGAAGAGCUGCUUCUUUUUAUUUAACUUCUCAGCUUGGUUAAUAUUUUACUGCGGUUCAAGAGCAGCCCCGUCAGAACGCCCCGUCCCACGCUGUGUAACUGGACACACCUCCGAAUCGCGAGCCCUGCACCUGCCUGCAGCCGUCUAGAAGCAUUCUGUGCAUCUGCGUGUUUGAAAGUAUCUCACAGUUCUGCUUCCUGUGAAUGUGCAUUCAGCCCUGCACGCUGGCAAAAUGCUUAUGCUGAAUUUGGGAGCGUGCAGAGAGCUGGCCGUGGCUGGGGGUGGGGUGGGGAUCUCCCCUGGGAGCCAAGGCAGUGCUAGCAUGGAGCUUCUUUGUGAGGGAACAGCAGUGCCAGGUUGGGGCUCACGGGACCCGAGCAGCUUCAGGAAGGCGCACACAGCCCCGGCUGCACACAGUUCAUGUGCCAGACAAUGGCCACAGGUUCACUGGGGCUGAAACGCCGGGCUCAGGCCCUCAGAACAUCGGGUCGGGCCCAGCACCGCCAGCAAAGCCGGGCAGGAUCAUGGACUGCUGCGCAGCGCAGCUUUCAGCCUGCUUUCCUAAACUGUUAAACCAUUAAAUAUUUAGGUGGCCAUAUGCAAAUCAUUUAAAUUCUGUUUCUCGGAAGCGCACCAUGUCAUUCAGACAUGCUUUGUGCCAAGAGCCUCUUCCUACGCUUUCAUCAACUGCUUGUUUUAAAACCUGUAAAGGACUUAACUAAUGGCUAAUUGUUGGCCACCUUUUUUUCAAGGGCAUUUAUAGAUGAGGGAGGAGGAGGGAGAAACAGAAACCCAGAGACCUGGGCUUCUCUCAGAGAAAACAAACAGAAGAAAACACAUUUUUGUGCACGUACCAAAGAAAACCCCGGGACCUCUCUCCUUUUUGCAACCCCCCUCCAAGGGUAACAAUUUGGCAAUUCAACAAAUAAACAGUCCUUUAUUUAGGAGCUGCCUGGCGGACACUGAGCGCUCCAGAGGCAAGGGCCCCAGAUCUUCCUUUCUUCGUGUCACUGUGGAUUUGCUUGUGGAAGUGCACGGCACCAUGCACUGAGCCCAGCAGCUGAGCUCAUGCUUCAGGCAUUCUCCCAGGACCGGGGGGAGGGGGCUCUCCGCCAGCUCCCGGCCGCCUCUCCCCUCGCAUUUGCACACACACAAAUCAUGUUAUCAUAGUGAAAAUAUGUAAGAAUUCCAGGAAGCAGAGGAAGUUUGUGUGUUGACCUUAAUUUAUUUUUUUUUCCAGAGGAAGAUCACUCCAAAUGUUAAAAGGAUAGUGGAUGCUAGCUAAAUUCAAAUGCAGAUAUUUUAAUUCUCGUUGCAACUAUUUAUUCUGCUGUGCUUUUCCUUUUAGCAUUAGUGCUGUUUGUGUUUUAUCCCACACGGGCAGCUGGAUCAGGUGAAGCAAAAUUGGUGAGAAGCUCUGUGGGUCCUAUCUGGAUUGUUAGAGGAGUCCAAGCGUUCUCUGGUUCCUAUUUUCCAUUACAGUAAAAUUGGGUGAGACCGUUUCUGGAGGGGAGGGAAGGAAAGGGUGGAUGAAAGUGGGCUAAUGCAUCAGGAUCUUGUGCAUGGAGACCUGGUUUGUUCUGCUUUACAGGGCUUGAACUCUACAGUGCUGAUCUAUUUGGCUCCAGACCCAAUUGCGUUUUUAAAACCAUGGGGGUUUUAAACCUGCAAGUGUCUUCAUGCAGACCAUAGCACCCUAAGAGUGAUCUGUGCACCCACACACCCAGCAUCAACGCCAGGCGGAGGCUCGCACCGCAGCCCAGCCCCAGUGCGAGGCUUCCAUCACUGUCAUGCCACAGCCUCAGGGGCACAGAACCAUGGAAUAUCCCAACUCAGAGGUGACCCCCAGUGAUGCAGCUCCUGGCCUCACGCAGGACCUCCAAAAUCCCACCUGUAAUUCAAACCAUGUGGUCAUCGGUGCUCACAUGCACAAGGUUCUUACACAUCCAUCCCACCACACCAGGCCCACAUGUGUGUGUGUGCACACGGAGCCAGGAACGUAGGACUUGAGUCCUUAAAUACUUGAGACUCCCUCAGUCCGUGAGCAACAGGGUCACACAGAUCUGCACUUGUGAAAUGGCAAGCCAAAAAACAAGCAAACAAUAAAACGCCCACAAACACGCUUGCUGACUGGCCAGCAAAAACACAAAUAUUUUCACUGAUUGGCGUUAAUUGCAGGGGCCAGACAUCUCUUGGCCUGGUGGCCUCAGCCGGGAGCUCUGGCUGCACACCGCGGAGCUGGGUGCUUGUUCUGGCCCCGCACCAGGGAUGUGCCAGGGCUUGUGCAACAAACCACGGGCACCUUCCGUUUUUGUAAAAUAAGGCAUGGCCAGCAAACAUUUAACCUGCGAGAAAGGGUUUGUGAAUCUUUCGGACCUCCCAUGAUUUUUAUUCCUUUUCAUAUGCUCCCUCUGUUGCACACAUAAGCUCAAAGCCUGGGUCAGUUUUACAGGAGCAAGCCUGUUCUUCUAGCUGAGAGGCAGCCUGUGAUGUUUCCUAGGGCCAGGCAUCCCCACCCAACAUCUCUGCUGAAACAAGGCCAUCUUGGUGAAAUAGCCCGAGCAGCUUGCAGUGUCACAGGGCUCACUAACAUCUGUGACAGUGCAGAGCUUGUCCCACAGAAUCUCUCUGCUCAAUAGAUUCUUCUCUUUAAGUUUUCUGAACUCACUCGUCUCCCCCUCCCUCAGCCUGUCCCUUCUUAUGCAUAUUUCAAAUGCAUACCUUUCUUUGCCUCAUCUCAGCAUAAAGUAGAAAAAUAGAUAUUUGAAUUAUAGUUUGGUUUUCCAAAUAUUCAGACAAGGAAGGAGGGCAAUACAAGCUUGCUACUCUGAAUGUUUUGGUGCUGAGACUUCUUUAACAUACAGCCCCCUACCAGCUGCAGCCUGGAUUUAUACCACAGGGAAGAACACAGUAGAACCAGACUGAAGAUUAAUGAAAACCAAUUCUGGCCUCUGUUCCACAUGCCUCAAAGAUUUAAAAAGUAAAAAUAAAAAAUGAGGGAGCUUUGCUUUGGCAAUAAGCAUUACAACAAAAAAGUAAUUUUCCCAAACGGGCUGUGAAGAGAAGACAUGCCUCUUACAGCUUCUUGGUGUCCCCAGCCAUCGUGAUGGCUUCAUGGCCAUGAGCUAACCCAGGCAUGCCCAACCACGGUCCUCAUGCCCCUCAGCCAUCAGCAGAAUAACAAAGCUAGUUUUUGUUAAGAAAGCCUAUUUAAAUGAAGUUUUCGAGUGUAAUCCUCACUUGGCAUAAACAGAUGUGGCUCUGUGUCAGUUAAUGCAGCUGCACUUAGCUAGAUCUGCUGGGGAGCAAGCCUUGGUUUUCUAGUGGAGGAAAACAUAAGAAUUAGUGGUGUCCAUAUUUUGAGGGGUAAAUAAAUACACAGGUAACAUGCAAAUCAUUCUAUUUAGGAAUAAGAAAUUAGGAAAUAAGAAUAUGCCAGAACUAUUGAAAAGUCAUCUGUAUCUCGCAGAAGGGUACGUUCCCAUCUUUUUUGGUCUGUACAAGGUGAUUAAAAGAAUUAGUGAAGUCUUUAAGACAUCUUUCUCAGUAAAGACGUGGCUGAACCGAACAAUGUGUGCAAUCAGGGCAGUCGCUAUACAACAAGGCCCCAGUUCAGCAAAGUGCUCAAGCACACCUUUAGCUUUUAGUGCAUGAGUGGCCUCAUUGAAGUCCUUAGUAAUUAUGUGUUUUGCUGAAUCAGGACCCGAAUUUAUUUGGGGCAGGAGGACCUUAAUAUCUUCCAAGGAAUUAUACUUAUUAAAGGGGACAGUCUAUAAAUUAGUAUUUAAGUUAAAAUCAAUUUCUAGAUAAUACAUAUCCCUAAAAGACAGCUUGUUAGUUUGUAUGAGCUUUGUAACAAAACUUUAAUUAAACCCUUUUUAAAUAAAACCUGUCGUACAUUAUACUGCUAAUUGACUUGACCUGGUACAAAGAGGACUCUGCCAGCUAGAGGAGACUAAAGGAGAUUAUUCUGUCUGGUGCUGCAGUGAUUGUGUGUUAAUAAAAUUUAUUUCUGCAGUCUUGCCCAACUCCCUAUUGUGUAUUCAAGAAAUGUGUGGGCUCGAAGCCAGUCAUCACAAAGCAAAAAGUAAUAAAACCACAAACGCUGACUUUUUCUGCCCCACGUUCUGCUGCUUUGCUGUAGCACAAGCUACUUGGUAUGUUCUGCUUUCACACGCACCUCAGCUAGAUUUCUCACUUCAAUUUUAUUCCCUAUUUUUUCAAGUUAUGUAAAACCUUGCACCUUGUAAAUGGGAGCACAGUAACAAGGGAAGGACAAUUACAGGAUCCAGAACGCUUGGUGAUGAAAUAUUCUGGGUGUGGCAACCAUUUUAUGGCCAUUACACUGAUUACAUACAGUAUAGCACAUCUAGCAAUUAGACAGACAUGCUUAAUCCUCCUGGAUGAGACCUGUUUCACUCACAAUUCAUUUGUAUGGGCCAAAUUCUUCCCUCUCCCUCAUGCAAGUAAAUCUGAAACAACCUCACACCGAUCUGUAGAAUCAUGUUGGAUUGACAUUCAUGUAAAUGACAGCAAAACAUGACCCACUGACUUCACAGAGGUACUCCCAACACACACUGGGUGCAAUCGCAAAAAGCAAUCACAAGAACUUAUGCAAGAAAUAAGGGGAAUAAACAGGGGGACUUGGAAGCUUCGCUAUGUGAUCAAAAUGAUGAAUUAAUUGGCAUGAGAGACUUGUUGGGAUAAUUCAAAUGACUAGAAUACUAAUAUAGGUAGCAUAGUUUGUUCAGGGAAAAAAAAAAAGGGUAAAACAGCUUCACUUCUCAGUGGGAAAUGAGGAAAGAAAUGAACCAGCUGAAAAUCCUUCCCUAGUAAUAAUAGAGGGGACGAAGGCAGGUGCUGUCACGAUGGGGGUGGGGGUGUCUAGAGCAAAGCCACAAAGAACAGAUGGACAGAGCUACUUCUCAUGGAGGACACAAGAUGAAUCAUACAUGCAGCACACAGGGCUUGAAGGAUGGUGGAGGGACACGGACGUGAGGGAAUGGAGGUAGCAGCCAGGACACAGGGUAUCAUGGGAUACAAACUCUCUGAUGACAGAGAAGCAGGCUGGAGAAUCCUUGCUCAAGAUUUUAACAGAGAAGAUUGGAAAUAUGAAAGCAGAAAGCAAUUUGGGCAAUAGCCAUCAUGGAAUGAGAAAACUUAUGGCGCCUGGAAGGCAAAAUGCAGACAACAGACUUGAAGAAAUCCAGCUUAAAUUAACUCAGAGAACUGGUAAGCAGUAUCUCAUGGGGAACAAGUUCAGAGCAGUUGACAUUUCCUUAAAAUAGUUCUAUUAAGAGCACAAGUGCAAAUUAUCCUGAAGCAGCAAAAUCAUUAGAAGUGUUGUAAGAAACCACCUCAGCUAAAUCACAAACUCCUUGCAGACCUCAAACACCAGGAGCACGUGGAAAGCGGAGCCUAGGUUGGAUUACUGAGGAAGAGGAUGAAAGCAGAGAUAAUGUAGGGCCCAAACCAGGGAGGUCAAGUGAGUAGGGACCAUGUCUAGCAAGGUACAGGAAAGAUAAUGAGAAAGCAUUCUGCAACCAGACUUUGUAAUAGGAGGAAGGUGAGGAAAAAUAGUUGGCCUGCUAUUCAGCAGGCAGUGAAAGUUAUUGACAGGUGAUGCUGAAAAGGCUGAGGGCUUAAUGCUUUUUUGCUGUAAUCUUUACUAAAAAGGUCAAAUGAGAUCAGGCAGGAAACAGCACAAGAGGCAAAGGGGUAGAAACACAAGUGAAAACAGGGAAAGAGCAGAUUAAAUAGUACUUAGAUAAAUUAGAUCUUUCAAAUUGCCUAGGUCAGAUAGAAUUCAUCCUAGGGUAUCCUAUGGACUGUUUGAAGCAAGCUUGGAGAGCUUGUGGAACAUGGGUGAAUAUCUAGAAAACAGGAAACUGGCACAUAGUGCCUCCCCUUAAAGCAAGGGAAAAGACUGUAACAGGGAAUUAAAGCACAGUGAGUGAAGGUCAGUUUUUGGAAAAAUACGGAAACAAUCAAAUUAUUUGUAACCACUCAGGAAAUAACAAGGAGAUGAGUAACAGCUAGCAUGGCUUUGUCAAAAACACAGAUUUGUUAAACCAAUUUAAUUUCCUUCAGUGGGAACAGGGGGAAAACAGUAGGUAAAUCUCAACUUUAUUAAAGCUUUCCAGUAUGGUCCUCCUCAUGAACAUGGUCAUAUGCAAACUAGGAAGAGUGUGGCCUUCAUCAACCUGCGGAAUUCUCUGUCAAACCGGAUGGAUGUUGUGAAGUGCAUUUCUGCAGGCGUAUGCCCUGGAUUUGCUUCUGUGAAGUGCUUCUGCUACAGCCUUUUUUUGCUGGAACAGUGAGUUGCCUUCUGCUACAGCAAAACUGAGAAGGGCUGCACAGGUGACAGUGGGCUGCUCUGACGAUGUUUGCUCAGAACACAAUGCAGUUAUGACAGCUGGAGCCAUGUACUCAGUUUGGGGCAAAACAUUUCAGCUCAAAAGAAAAAAAAAAGAAAAGAAAAAUGAAAAGAGAUGUGGACUGAACAGAAAAGAACUAGCAGAGAGUAGCCAG